CUUGCUCGGAGAGGCUGGCUGGAGCUGACCCAGAGCAGGCGAGCAGUCGGAGCCCGGGUCCGGAGGCCGGCUGCGGGUGCUUCCCGGACGCGCUGGGCGCCCGGGCCCGAGGUCCGCGGGAGAUUGCGCUCCUGGAGCAGCGAAAACGGCCGGAAAACGAGGAAGGUGGCUCUGACAGCAAGAGAGCGGAUGGGCAGCGUGGAGAGACAGAUUUCACUUUGGGUGGCCUUUUUAACUUGCCCUAGAAACCUGAUGAAGUCACAACGUCAACUGUGUUAUAAAACAUCCUUGCUUGUGUCGGAAGUGCUCUGUGACUGGUACACUGCUUCUGGCUGGACAAAACGGAAUCAUCUUUAAACACCUGUCAGGGAGCCAGAACUUGAGGGUCUCCCUUCACUGAGUUUGGGGAUGUAAAAGGUAAAUCCAGGUAACUAUUAUGAGAUGUGCAAGUUCCCACGGUCUAGGAUUCUAAGCCAGGGCAGUCCCGACGCCUUCAUCUUGCACCUGAGUUGCAUCUGGGGAACCACAGAGCAGCUCUGUGAGGAGCUCACGUGUGCUUACGUGGACUGCAAAGGGGAGCAUCUCAGAAUGCCCCGCUCCCAACGUGUGUUUUUUCUUUAACUUUUUAAAUGAAGCUGCUGCCAGGUGUCGCGGUACAGGAGGAUAAAUGGUCAACCUCAGAAGAUCUCCUACUGAGCAUUUAACAAUUUCUUACAUCUCCCCCUGAAAAUCUUACAGGUUCCGCUUCACUUUCAGUUAAAAGUGAAUAUAGAAGCCUUACUCUUCUGUCAACAUGGACUGAAAAGUCUAGGGCCCCAUCCUCCUGCUAUAAGACAGAUUUUGCAAAAAAAAAAAAAAAAAAAAAAAAAAAAAGAUUGUUGGAUUGCUGGGCUUUAGAAAUUAAAACAAAUCUCCAGGGGAUCAAGAAAGAAGCAGGGAGGUGGGGGAGGGCGUGAGCUAUAAAUAGUGAGGGUGUAAGAAAGGCAGGUUUCCCUGAGGGAAGGUACCCCUGUGAGCACUGCCAAUAGGAAAUAAGCCCUUGGGCCUCUGUGGUGGUGAGAAUAUGAACGUGAGGCUCCCGGUUUAAGCCAGCGAUCCUGGAAGGCCUUCCUCAUAUUAUGCUCCCCUGUUUUUCACAGUUUAAGGUCAAGCAACUGUGGGGGGCCUUGGUGGCUCAGUCAGUCAUACAUCAGAUUCUUGAUUUCGGCUCAG